CUGUUCCGUUUGGCUUCUAGGAGCAUUUGUCUUUGUGGUACCAUUUCUGCAUUCCUCUUGUCUAUCUCACUCUGCCAAAAGAAUUAAAUCACAUCACCAGUGGUUUUCAUCCAGGGAAGGUGGGAGGAUGCAAACUUAAGGAACAUAUUAAAACCCCAAGUUGCCUCCUAGUUCAGCAUUUGUUUCUUUUCCUCCACAAUGACUAUCAGUCGAAGAGCACUUCUGUAAAGAUUUGCAGUGAAACAUCCUGACUGUUCAAGUUUGUAUUGUAAGCCUGU
rnacentral:lncRNA from 1 species